CCCUUAGAUGUUCUCGGCCGCACACGCGCUACACUGAAAGAGGCAACGUGUUUGCCUGAUUCGAAAGAAUUGGGUAACCCCCUAAUCUCUUUCGUGCUGGGGAUUGAGGUUUGCAAUUAUCCUUCAUGAACGAGGAAUUCCCAGUAAGUGCGAGUCAUUAUCUCGCGCUGACUACGUCCCUGCCCUUUGUACACACCGCCCGUCGCUACUACCGAUUGAGUGAUUUAGUGAGGACUUCGGACUGAGUCCAAUGCGGCUUUCGGGCUGCGUUGGUAUUUAGGAAAGAUGUCCAAACUGUAUCAUUUAGAGGAAGUAAAANUCGUAACA
rnacentral:rRNA from 1 species